rnacentral:rRNA from 1 species
GACGAACGCUGGCGGCGUGCUUAACACAUGCAAGUCGAGCGGUAAGGCCCUUUCGGGGGUACACGAGCGGCGAACGGGUGAGUAACACGUGGGUGACCUGCCCUCAGCUCUGGGAUAAGCCUGGGAAACCGGGUCUAAUACCGGAUAUGACUCCAUGACGCAUGUUGUGGGGUGGAAAGCCUUGUGCGGCUGAGGAUGGGCCCGCGGCCUAUCAGCUUGUUGGUGGGGUGAUGGCCUACCAAGGCGACGACGGGUAGCCGGCCUGAGAGGGCGACCGGCCACACUGGGACUGAGACACGGCCCAGACUCCUACGGGAGGCAGCAGUGGGGAAUCUUGCGCAAAUGGGCGAAAGCCUGACGCAGCGACGCCGCGUGGGGAUGAAGGUC